rnacentral:rRNA from 1 species
AAAUGACGUGUACCUGAAGAAUAAGCAUCGGCUAACUCCGUGCCAGCAGCCGCGGUAAGACGGAGGAUGCAAGUGUUAUCCGGAAUCACUGGGCGUAAAGCGUCUGUAGGUGGUUUAAUAAGUCAACUGUUAAAUCUUGAAGCUUAACUUCAAAAUCGCAGUCGAAACUGUUAAACUAGAGUAUAGUAGGGGUAAAGGGAAUUUCCAGUGGAGCGGUGAAAUGCGUAGAGAUUGGAAAGAACACCGAUGGCGAAGGCACUUUACUGGGCUAUUACUGACACUCAGAGACGAAAGCUAGGGUAGCAAAUGGGAUUAGAUACCCCAGUAGUCCUAGCCGUAAAC